GAUGAACGCUAGCGGCAGGCUUAAUACAUGCAAGUCGAGGGACAGCACAGGUAGCAAUACUGGGUGGUAACCGGCAAACGGGUGCGGAACACGUACACAACCUUCCUUUAAGUGGGGGAUAGCCCAGAGAAAUUUGGAUUAAUACCCCGUAAUAUAGUUGAAUGGCAUCAUUUGAUUAUUAUAGCUACGGCGCUUAAUGAUGGGUGUGCGGCUGAUUAGAUAGUUGGCGGGGUCACGGCCCACCAAGUCUACGAUCAGUAGCUGAUGUGAGAGCAUGAUGAGGCACACGGGCAAUGAGACACGGGCCCGACUCGUACGGGAGGCAGCAGUAAGGAAUAUUGGUCAAUGGACGCAAGUCUGAACCAGCCAUGCCGCGUGAAGGAUUAAGGUCCACUGGAUUGUAAACUUCUUUUAUUUGGGACGAAAAAGGGCCUUUCUAGGUCAACUGACGGUACCAGAUGAAUAAGCACCGGCUAACUCCGUGCCAGCCGCCGCGGUAAUAC
rnacentral:rRNA from 1 species